rnacentral:lncRNA from 1 species
GACAAGAAUGAUUUUGUAGCUUCAAAGUGCUUUAAUUGAUUAGCAUAAUUAAAAUAUGGAAAUAAGGUUUGAAUGCUUAAAAAAGUAAUUACAUAAACAGAUUUUAAAUCCAAUAGGUUACAAAUAGUCCAAAUAUACAUUUAACCUAAAUACUUAAUUGAUUACACCUUAAUUUAAUAAAAAGCUGUUGCAAUUUCAAUUGAUAAGAACCAUUGCCCCAAGAGACCAAAGCCAGAGACCGUUGAACCUUCCUUGGAACUGGUACGCCUCAAACUUGCUUUCUUGAAGCUUCACGCAACCACCUCCCAUCCCAUCAAAGUCACUUCAAGUUGUAACCUGCAGAGAUAAAAAUAGCUUAAUUAAAAAGCCCUUUUCAUAAGCGCUUAAAGAACUGAAAAAUAACUAAUAAGUUAAUCAGUUUAGCACUUUAUCCAGAAGUCCAACAUGAAUACUCAAAAAGCAUUUCGAAAAUGGCUUAAAACAGUAACACAUUUACAAAAAUGAAAUCCACAAUAACCAAGAAUAAAAAGGCAUAACAGACAGAGUUUUUUUUUAGGCUUAAAAAAUUCAUCUGUGAAAAGAUCAUCAGAUAUAAGAUAACGCAGUAGAAAAAUCCGAGGAGGAACUUUUUUCAAAAAAAAACUCAAGUUUUCAAAAAAAUAUAAGAGAGUUUUCUCAUUGCAACUCUGGCCUAGGUGAGGUUAGAUCCUCCUACCUCUUCAAAAGCGCAACAGUAUUAGAGGAGAGAAGAAAAGUGUUGAUUUACCUGAAAGCCCUAUUGGACGGUAAAACCCCUUGCCUCUCAUUUUUAAAAAGAACUUGCAUAAUCUUCAUUUAUACUGGAUUUCGCACUGUCUAUCUCGUUUGCUCGCUCCUGGGUGUUUGUCGUUUGAGCUCCGGUUUGAGCAAACCCCUUAGCAUUUCG